ACAUUCGUGGUUCAGUGGUAGAAUUCUCGCCUCCAACGCGCGAGGCCCGGGUUCAAUUCCCGGUAAAUGCU